rnacentral:rRNA from 1 species
UACGAAGGGGGCUAGCGUUGCUCGGAAUCACUGGGCGUAAAGGGUGCGUAGGCGGGUUUUUAAGUCAGGGGUGAAAUCCUGGAGCUCAACUCCAGAACUGCCUUUGAUACUGAAGAUCUUGAGUCCGGGAGAGGUGAGUGGGACUGCGAGUGUAGAGGUGAAAUUCGUAGAUAUUCGCAAGAACACCAGUGGCGAAGGCGGCUCACUGGCCCGGUACUGACGCUGAGGCAUGAAAGCGUGGGGAGCAAACAGG